ACCACGUACCGACUCCUCCACCAGCCCCACGCUCUUCAGGUCGUAACCACCGAUCGCGCCCGAGACAAGCGACGAAGAAAAAAUCUAUGACGAUUAACCAGCGAUAAAAAAACCUACGAAAAAACCCCGCACGCACGCACGACUCUCCUGCCCCCACUCGCACGCCCGACUACGCCCGACUCACUGCCCUCGUUCGCGGCCGCCUCCAUCCCUUCGCCGCCGCCGCUCCAUCCCUUCGCCGCCGCUAACGUGCCGGGAUCGCCUCUCCGCCUCGGCGCUUGCGCUUCCAGAUCGAAGCCCACGACGGCGGCGUUCCCAGAUCGGCGACGCGCACCGUACGUCACGGCUGACGGCCGUGUCCUCGUCAAGUAAGCGUCGCUUCGAGGUGGCGGCAACCAAGGCCUCCCGGAUCCCCGCCUCCUUCCUCACAUCUCUGGCGGCGACAGUGACAAAUUCCGACACCAUGAGGCCACCGGCAUGAGGAGGAUGCAGCGGGAGGGGUUUCGGCGGCAGGAGCGACGGCGGUGACCGCGGGGGCAGGGGCUUCGGCGGGAGAAGCGAUGGCGGCGGCCGCAGCGGCAGGGGUGGCCGGGGAGGCAGGAUGCCCAGGGGCCAUGGUCGUGGCGGCGGGGGAAGGGGAGGGCCCGGCAUGAAGGGCGGGAGAAAGGUGGUCGUGGUGCCGCACAAGCACGACGGUGUCUUCAUCACCAAGGCCAAGGAGGACCCGCUCUGCACCAAGAACAUGGUCGCCGGGGAGUCCGUCUACGGCAAGAAGAGCGUCUCCGUCCAGGUUUGAAGCUUAUCUUGUUGGGGGGUGUGAGAGAUUUUCUACACAAAAGGGCACCUAAAGAUGUUGAACUGAUUCGUACUGCAAGGCUCAUGCACGCUUUGGCUCAUGCAGAUAUCACAUGUGUUUCUUUCUGCAAAUUCUCAGAUGCCAUUGUUCCAUUGACCUGAUUCUGAUUGUUUGCAGACUAAAAAAUUGCUUUUAAAUUAUGUUCAUCAAGUGAUUCCAAUGUGCCAUGAUAAGAUGCGCAACUCAACAUUUGAGGUUUCUUACUCAUAGGAUUAUCACAUCUUGAAUUCUGGUUCUUAGAGUUUUCGUUUCCAACCCUUAUUUGCUUGUCUUGUCUUUUGUUCUUACGGGUUUCAAUCUUCAGCACACAUCUUCUGUAGGAAAUCUUGUACUUAAAAUGUAGAAAAAUGUCCCUAACGUUGUUGUAAUGCUUGUAUGGCAGCCUAUUCUGUAAUCUGUUCAAUUACAGAGCUUAUGAUUAUGUGAAUGAAGCAAGGGAUCUGAGAAAAAAAAAGUUAUUCCUGCCCAUGUUUAUGUCAAGGAGCAUCACCGUCGGUGUUCAAGGAAUGCCAUUGAUUGUAUUAUCAUUAUUAUCCGUCACAAAUUUGGAUUCUGAAUUCUUUCAGAAUUCGAUUAUCUUGGAUUGAGACCUACCGCACUGAGCCUUCAUCAUGUGCUUCCGAAAUAGCCCUGCCAUCUACAAUUUGGCAGUCAGAUGGUGAUCUGAAACUUAAAAUGGAGCAAAUGGCCAUGAGCUCUAACAAAUAUGAGGUUUUCUAUCACAAGAUACCUCAGCUGCACGACAACAGAGCCAUGGGUGCCGAGGGCGGGCACUGGUGGUCGGCAGAAGGCGCUGUGGAGGUGCUCGCUGCUGCCCGGCUCUACUUGCACGCCACCAGGUUCAGAAUUGGCAUGGACCUGGGCGCCGCCGCCUUUGCAGCUGCUCCCUGCUGCUCAGUACGUAGCCGGCUAGCCGCCGUCGAGGAAGAGUGAUUCUUGUGGCGGUGCCGCUGAGUAUCAUGUGUUGCCGCUUGCCAGCCAGGAUCAUGUGUUGCCACCCAUGAUAGGGCGCCCACGUCUCUACAACACCGUCAUCUCUGUUGUGAGGCUCCUUGGAGAUCAAUUAGGGCAGGAACUAACCAUCUUCUCAUCUGGAAGAUGAAGCUUACCAACAAGAAUUUAUGGCGAGGAGGCACUCUUGUGCACCCUUUGCAAUACAAAGGUCGUCGGCGGCGGAUCUGGAGACGCGGAUGCUCCUGCACAACGCGGCGUCCAUGGAGUCCCCUUGUCUGUCAAGGAACCGGUCGUCGUUCCACCCCCUCCCCUUCCCCGAACACCAUCGUCGCUCCUCUGCGUGGCGUCUCUCGCUUGUCGCUACCAUCCAUGAGGAGAAUCCAUCGUCAAAGGUCGCCGUACAGGGACUCUGUUGCUUUCUGCAGAACCGCCACUCCUGCCACCUCCAGGAAAGCAUUUGUACGCAGAUGGGUUAUAUCUAAUAACUUGGGAUUUGCUCUAAGUUCUGUUGAUAGUGAUGAUGAGUUGAUAGAGCAUACCUUUUUGCCUGCUAUUGUAUAGUCACAAAAUUUCCAUGGUGUGCAUGGGGGUACUUUUUCAGUGAACCCAUCACUUAUACUGCAUACUGGAAAAAGGUAUCUAUAGCUUUUAGGUAAUGUCUAUUUCAAUCAUCAGAAGACAUAUUGAAUAUAUGUUCCUUUGUGCACCGAAACAAUCCCAUAAAAAAACAAACUACUUCCCUAUAUUGUGAUUCUUCCCAUAGUUGUUUGCUCCCUGGAAACAAAGGCCGAGGCAACAUAUUUUACCGUGUAUACAAUGAUCUUGCUUUUAAAACUAAUAAUAUAUACUUAUGAUCUCUUCUACAUGUUUGUUUUCUAAUCCCUAUUUUCAUGUUUUUGAGGCAUGUUAGCUAUCUUCCAGUAAUAUAUUUAGUGUUAUCCAGUAAGUUUUUUGAGGCAUGUGUGUUACUCAAAGAAAAAGGUGUGUCAGUCUCAGUGAUACCCUUUGAAUUUUUGAACAAUUGCCACUGCUAAGGUGAUUUUUUUUUGGAAACCACUGCUAAGGUGAUUGGAAAUUGCUUUGUACACAUUCUACUAGGCUCGUUUUCUGUGAUUGUACACAUUCUACUAGGCUCAUUUUCUGUGAAUCCCUACAAUCUGAGGAAUGAAGUGAAGGGAAGACGUGAGGAGAAAGCUCUACCUUCACAGGAGACAAGAUCCGUGCCGGGAAUUCGGAUGUGCUUGUAUGUUACUGUAGAGCGACCAUUUCAGGGUGGAUGUUGAUGAUCUCAGAUUGAUUCGAUGCUGCAGCGAGCUGGGAUGGGCUUGCACUAAUGAUGUAUUAAAACAUUGAUAUGAUGGCAGGAAGAUCCAAGAUGCUACUGUUCCAGCAGUUAGGACAAACAAUCAGGAAGGGAAGUAUAUAUAUUGAAAAGAAAGCCCAGACACAGUGUCGAGAAUGAAAGAGAAUGGAAAGUAGGGGUAGGUUUUCUUUAUUUUAUUUUUUUGUCUUCUAAAAAUAAAUUGAGCGAGGUUAAUGAGACCCGGCGAAUGGAAAUGAGGGGUAGGAUUUUUUUGUCUUCUAAAAAUAAAUAGAGUGAGGUUAAGGAGACACGACAAUUAUUGAUAGAGAAAAAGAGUUGGAAAAUCAGUUUUUGUUAUAUAAAUGGAAAGUAUAAGCCAUCAUGUUUGACAUAUUAUUUUCUAAAUUAGAACAACUUUUUAUCAUUAUUGUUAUUGUGUGGCAAUGCGUGAAUAUUUAUUGUAAAGUAUAUGUUGGACAAAUUAAUGUUGAACCACUAGAGUACAUGCCUGUUGUCGUAUGAUAUAUACCAUUUCAUAUAUCAUGGACGACUAUGAUGGUGUGCAUUCUUUGGCAUUGGGAAUUGGCCUGGGACACCAUAGAGGGGAGGAGGGGGAGGGCGACGCCAUGGAAGGAAGGGGAGACUACGCUGAGAGAAAGAUGUGGGUUGAACGCCGUGGCUGUGAGAGAUGGCAAUGGUGUCAGCGAGGAGAGCAGGGCAGGGGAAUGAGAUGUGGGUAUGAGCGUUGUGCCAUGCAGUGAGAGAACGAGAGAGUGAAUUGCUUUUUUUAUUAAAAAGAUAAGAAGGUGCGGCCGUUUGCUUCUUUUUAGGGAAAGCGGUUGUUUGCUAUGAGAGAAAUGCCACAUACUUUUAUGUAGUGAAAAAUAUCAGAUACCUUAACAAAGACAUUUAUGAAAAAAAUACCAACAAGUGAUUUAUAGGUGAACUUACAGUUUAUUAAAAUUAGAAUCUGACCCACUCUGCUAAAAAGUAUGAUGCCACUCACUCCGACUAGAAACGUAGCCUACUCGCAUUUAGCAUCUGACCAAUGAACAUAUGUUGUAUAUAAGCUUAUUUUUUACUUUUUAAAAUAUUUUUUAUAUGUUCAAUUUUGUAUAUGAGAGAUAAAAACUGAUGGUUUCCAGGGAUGCUUUGAUAAAUGUCGAUUAACAAAGCUUUAUGAGGGUUCGGACUGAAAAAUCAUCGAGUUUUACACAAUCCGAAGAGAUGCAUGCAAAUGGUUAUUCUUUAUAUAUUUGUUGCACAUCAUAAUACAAAAGGUGUGUUUCUAUAUAUCUUUAUUUUUGUAAAUUAUGGGAGAGAUGGAAAUGGAUUAUAUCGACUUUAAAAAAAAUCCAUCCAUGAAGGUGUCGAGACGAUGUUGUUAUAAGAGACAAAAAAUUCACCGAGUUUUAUACAACGAAAGGCCCGUAGCAACGCACGGGCAUUCUACGAUUUUGUAGGAGGAUAUGAAACAUUUUCGACUAAAAUUAGCUGUCAUUUUGCUCGAUUCAGAGCUUAAUAAGCUAAAAGGAGGUCCCAUAUACCAUCAACCUGUCAAUGAAGAAACUUUAGCUAAUUCUGAUCUCGAGAUCCUGGAUAAUCCAUCUGACAUAGUCAAAAACAAACAUUCUGCCCCAAUCACUAUCAUACCCACGGACCAACGUGAAAUAUUUGCCGGCCUCUGCAACUACAUCAUGUUGAUCGAUGAUGCCUGGUGUUAGGAGAAGGUAUGAGUCCGGAGCUCGACACCUAAUUCAAUGGGCUUAAGUCUUAAGAAACUUCAGUGCAUACUUAACAUGGAGCAGCCUAUGGACAAUGAUUGCUUCAACACCGCCGUGCAUAUGCUGGCAUGUGACGAGGGAGUAUUGUUCACAGACCCUCCUAUACACUACAUGGAUCUACCAUUUUGUUCCAUGAUGCUAGAGUCAACACGAGGUCAGAAGUUUUGUGAGAAGGAAACUAUUCAGACGUUGGCAAUAUUAUUUGAUAGCUAGCUUGGGAUGGAGAACGACAUCUCAUCAUGCAACAAGAUUUAUCUUCCCUAUGCAUUCAUCGGCUGAUAAAUCUUGUACGUCACCGACAAAGAGGCACGUCGUCUAUAUAUUAUGGAUCGUAUUCAAACAUCACAAUUAUCAGAGGAUAAAAAAUUGAGGCAUGCAUUGAAAUUAAAAAGUUUUGUAAGGGAUUUCAAAGAAGCACUCGAAAUAAAGCUGCCUGGUUGGAAUUCUGAUAUAUCUAAAUGACAACAUUUUUUUCCGUUCGGUGUUCCAACGAGUAUAGACGGGAAUGUGUCUGGCUAUUUUGUUUUUCAUUUUAUGCUCUGGUGGAAUGGUAAAGAAUUGGUCAAGCUGGUUUGCGCUGUGAGGGAGCGGUAAAGAAUUGGUCAAGCCGGUUUGCGCUGAUGGGUAUGAAUUGAGAAAGCAUUUUUUAUUAUACUUGCUAAAACAUCGUGGGAAUGAAGCUAGAGGAAACUUUCCUGAUAUCGUGAAAAAAUUUCUUAAGCACAUCAUCUAGAUAUUAAUAGUUUUAUAACAGAUGUUCAGUUGGAACAUCGCUCAGUUUGUUACAUGGACAUGUCAUUAAU